UACGUAGGGGGCAAGCGUUGUCCGGAUUUACUGGGCGUAAAGAGCGUGUAGGCGGCCACGCAGGUCCGUUGUGAAAACUGGAGGCUCAACCUCCAGCUGUCGACGGAACCGUGUGGCUAGAGUCCGGAAGAGGAGAGUGGAAUUCCUGGUGUAGCGGUGAAAUGCGCAGAUAUCAGGAAGAACACCCGUGGCGAAAGCGGCUCUCUGGAACGGUACUGACGCUGAGACGCGAAAGCGUGGGAGCGAACAGG
rnacentral:rRNA from 1 species